UUCCUUCUGUAGCACGCACUGAGAAAAGGAC
rnacentral:piRNA from 1 species